rnacentral:rRNA from 1 species
CAGUCGCCACGGUAAUACGAGGGGGGCAAGCGUUGUUCGGAAUUAUUGGGCGUAAAGGGUGCGUAGGCGGUUUGAUAAGUCAUCUGUGAAAUCUAUGGGCUCAACCCAUAGUCUGCAGGCGAAACUGUCGGGCUUGAGAGUGGGAGAGGUGAGUGGAAUUUCCGGUGUAGCGGUGAAAUGCGUAGAUAUCGGAAGGAACACCUGUGGCGAAAGCGGCUCACUGGACCAUUUCUGACGCUGAUGCACGAAAGCUAGGGGAGCAAACAGGAUUAGAUACCCCAGUAGUCCCUGUCUCUUAUAC